GGGGGCAUAGCUCAGUUGGGAGAGCAGCAGACUGAAGUCGUUGGAAAUGAAUUCAUUAUUCUGAAGGUCCCGCGUUCAAUCCGCGGUGCCCCCA